AUGAAAGGUCAGACACCAAAAUUAAACGGAAUGCAAAUAUUAUCAAGAAAGGCUGCUCAGAAGCAUCGUUUCCCUUACUGAGAGGACACGUCAAACAAAGACACUAAUAAACAAAACAAACCAAAAGGAAAUGCAGAACUGAAUGUCUGGCCUGUAGCCAACACUCCGUGGCGUCCUCUUCACCAGAAGACUCACAACCUUGACCAGAGCCGGCUUGUACUCUCCAAUCA